rnacentral:rRNA from 1 species
CUGCAGACGCCGGAUCUACCGGAUUAUCUAAUACCAAGACAAAAGAUGCGAUUCAAAGAUGUAGAGAAAGCAAGGGAAUUUUAUAACAGAUACGCCAGACACGUUGGUUUUGGAAUCAGGAAGGGGGGAAAUGACAACCACAAGUAUUUUGUUUGCGCCUUCCAAGGGAUACACACAUCUUCUUUUUCAGAGGCCAACAGGAAGCGAAACAAAACAUCGCAGAGGACGGGCUGCAAUGCAAGAAUGAGGGUGAAGGUGUAGGAGGAUGACACAUGCGUGGCAGUGGACAUUGAGUACAAUCAUAAUCACCAGCUCAUGCAAACUGGUCACAUGCUGGUAUUUUUGCACUCACACAAGAAUUAUGAGCCCACUAUUUUGGAGUACGUAAAGCUCCUGCAGUACCAUGAUUUCAAGCACACAACAAUCAUGUCCAUGCUAUCUGAAAAUGAAGAUGGAAGCUACUUCCUAAGCAUGACCGGACGAGACCUACUAAACCAGUAAGAAAGCCAUGAAUGCAAGGAAGAUGAUUUGGAUGAUGUAUUGAAACUUGUUUCAUUCUUCAAAGACAUGAAGGCAAUAAAUGAUGAGUUUUUCUAUGACAUCCAAGUGGACAAGGGCAAGUCAAUUAAAAACAUUUUCUGGUCCAAUGCAAGCUACCGAGGAGCCUAUCAAGACUUUGGCGAUUGCAUAACAUUCGACACAACUUACAAGACCAACAGAUUUCAUAUGCCUCUGGGGGUGUUUGUUGGAACAAACCAUCACUUGCAGUCAACGAUAUUUGCUAUUGCCCUGAUAAGAGACAAAGAUGCAAAGUCAUUCAAGUGGUUGUUCGAUACAUUUGUACGGUGCAUGAACAACAAGCACCCAACUUGCAUUCUAAAAGACCAAUGCCCAUCGAUGUCGAAAGCUAUACCACAAUCAUUUCCAAACACCGUCCACAAGCUAUGUCGUUGGCACAUCAUGAAGAAGUACAGGGAAUACCUCGCGUUGCUGUACAAAAAGUAUAAAACAUUCAAAGAGGAGUUCACAGCUAUAUUAAACUAGCCGUUGAUGCCAUCGGAGUUUGAAGAUGCCUGGGCUCAACUCGUGCACAACUACAACCUGGAGAACGACCAGAUGAUGAUGCAACUCUGGAGUGAUAGGAAGAUGUGGAUUUCAGCAUAUUACAAGAACAUUUUCUGUGCUAGAAUGACUUCCACACAACGAAGCGAGAGCAUGAACCAUGUGCUAAAGAAAGGGUUUGUCAAGGGGACCCAGAACCUACACAAGUUUGCUAGGCGGGUCAAUGCUUGCAUACAAACUCCGAUGCAGAAGGAGAACGAGCAAACAAUGACCAACAUGGUAUGA